UUCUCUCGAUCUCUCCUAUUCAUAGAUAUCUCUUCUCCUGAAGUCACUGUCCUUGAGGAUAAUUUUAUUCCUUUACUAUGGAAACAGGUGCAUAGAAGCCACAAGCUCUGGAUUCUUACACUGGCUUUGUCACAAACUAAUUAUAUGACUUCGGACAAGUUACUUGGCCUCUCUAUGUCUUAGACUUUUCAUCUGUAAAACAAAAUGUUACAAGGUUUUGUUACCAAGUCCAAGAUUGUAUUGCUUACUGCACCACAGGCCAAUGGCUGGAGAGACAAUUGUUGGGACAAGGAACAGAGACUUUAUUUGGAAAGAGAGCAGAUUGAGGAGAUGGUGGACUAGUGUCCCAAAGAACCAUCUUACCUGAGUUAGAAUACACUAAAAGGGGAGGGGAGUGUGGUCGGUUAUUGCAAACUUCUUGGUGUAGGAAUCCUUUGUUCUUGCAGCUAUCCAUGUAAGUCAGGUCAAAAUGUUCUGUUAACCUCUAACUAGACAAAUGUUAUUCUCUGUCCUGCAACUGUUUCUCUCUCUAUGAAUGGAAAAAAUGUGUUAUAUCUCUAAAGGGCAGAGCCUUGAGAAUGGGCUCUCCUGUUUAUUUCAGGCAAUAGGCAACAUUCUGCUAGUGAUUAACUUAUAGCAAAAGCAAUAGAACUCAAAGCCUAAAGUAAAAGAACAGAUUCAAUAUGGAGUCAUAUUUGUUCUUCCCUGUAAGAGUUUAAUGUUGUAAUACCUGUAAAAUGUUCAUAUCAAUGUCUCACACAUGGUGAUAAAUGUUAAUUAUCAUCAUUAUAAUUUCAUUAUCUUCUUGGCAGAGUUGGGGGAAGGGUAGGAUGUAAAUGUGAGUUCCUAACCCCAUCUUUCCACUCAGUCUUCAUAGUUCUCAUUUUUAUUGGUGUUCCACCCAGCUUGCGAUUUCCAUGAAGGCAGCGUUGAUCUUUCUCUUAUUCUUCGCUCUAUCCAUUUUACUUGGUGUCACACAUAGCAUGUGGUAUGUGUCCAGGAAAUAUUUGUGGAGUGAAUCAGUGAAAACAAAUUCACUCAUAAUACUUCUUGUAGGAGGCACUAUUGUGUAGUUAUUGAGAACAUGUGCUUUUGAAUCAGACUUCUUGGGCUUGAGUUAUUGCUGAGUCAUUAACUGGUUGUAUAACCUAAGAUGCAGUUAAAAAAAAAAUUUUUUUUUAAGGGCUGUGCCUGUGGCGUAUGGAAGUUCCCAAGGGUAGUUGUGAGGGAAACCACAUAAACCUUAGCACAGAGCCUAGCACGUGGUACAUACGUGCUCAGUAAGUAUUAGCUGUGAAGAUGAGGACCAUGGCAAAGAUGGCCAUGGCAAUGACAAUGAUAAGAGCAAUGGUGAUGACGAUGUUGCUAGUGAUGCUAGGGACAAAAUGACUCCGCUGGCUUGAGAUGCCAGUAAGUGCAGAGGUCAUAUGCUCUGGUUAGUCAGCUGAACCUGGAAUUAAGUGUCUGUUCCGUCUCACUGAUUGCGCGGCGGCCGUGGGCAAGCUCCUCAAUCUAGUUACACUUCAGCAUCUUUGUCUGCAAAAACAGUCACUCUUUCACAGGGCUGUUGGGAAGUUCAAAUAGGACAUUGUAUGCCAUAUGUCAUCAGCUCAAGGAUGCACAUUGUUCCUAUUUUAACACCUGUGAAAUCAAGGAUGCAUCUUCCAGUUAUUUCCAGGUGGUGCAUACAUUUGAUAUUUGUGAAGCGGGUAUUCAUCAUUGGAGAAAGGACCACAGUUCCAUGUUUUUACCUGCAAAACAAUGACUGCUUCAUGAGACCUAAAGAAGGGAUUUCUGAAUACAUAAGGCUGUUUUAUUUAUUUAUUUUUUUGGGAAACACAUGUGGGAAGAAUUACCUGAGGCAUAUGGAAGUUCCUGGGCCAGGGAUUGAAUCUGAGCUGUAGCUGCAACCUACACUGCAGCUGCAGCAAUACCAGACCCUCCUAACCCAUUGCACCAGGCCGGGGAUCAAACCCAUACCUCCACCGUGACCUGAGCUGCUGCAGUUGGAGUCCUAACCCACUGCACCAUAGCGGGAUCCCUGGAGGAGUUUUUGAUUCCCAUGCCAAGCUAUGUAAUUGAAGGCAGGAGAAAUUGUGACAUUCCACAGACUAGAGGAAAGAAAUUUCAAAGCAACGAGAGGUUGUUGUGAUUGAUUGCAGCAUGAUCAAGAAAGUACCAACAUCAAAAGUUUCAGAACAGGUGUCAGUGUUAAAAGAAAAUCCUAGGGGAGAAUCAUCAGUCGCCUGAAGCUCGAUUUCAUGUGGAAAAACGUGGAUAUUGACGGCUCUGAUUUGAAAAACAAUUUAGAACAUUCAGACUCUGAACGUUUAAAAUCUCUUAUAUUUUCUUUCUCAUUAAGACACACAAGGGAUAUAUGAUAGCAGUCACUAACUGAAAGUCUAAAGCAGCUCUUUCAAUAAAUAGCCAGUAAAAAUUCAAAGGGAUAAGAAAGCAUCAUGUCAUAAUUUAAUUGGCAGGAUUUUAUUUACUCUUAGGAGGCAUAGAAAAUGGCAGUAUGUUCCUUAGUCGAAGGCAUUUGAGAUUUGAGGAAAAAUGACAAUGCGUGUAGAACCCUUGGCACCGUGCCAUAGCCUUUAUUGACUUGCUUUUGCCCUAUUUUACCCUGUAAGAUUGAUGGAAACUUAGAAAAAUAUAUACCGGGGUAGCCCGCCUUCAAAAGGCUUCCCAAUGAUCCCUGCCUCCUGGUUUCCCAGUCUUUGCAUAGGUUUCAUACCUUCUGUACUGAAUAGAACUGACCGGGGUGGGUAACAGGAUACAGCAGAAAUGACAGAGCCUGGCUCCUGAGGCUUGGUCAUUCAAACAUUGCCACAUCCGCCUUACCUGCCUAGACCAUUCCCUCUGAGGGCAACCAGCUACGCUGGCACAGAGGACACCUGAGCCGACCUAAGGAGUGAGUACACACUGAGAACUGAGCCCUCUCUGCCAGCAGCCAGAGUGGCUGCAAAUAUUUAUACACAUCCGACCAUGCUCUUUGUGCCUUCUGUGACAUAAUCUUAGACAUGCAGGACUAUCUGAGAGAUUUCUAUCCAGCUUAGUAAAUUACAGACCAUCACUGGGAAUGAACGCCAAGGGUUCCUUUGUAUGUAUCUGCCAGAUUUUGCUUAAUCUUUCCUCAGUGAAUGGACUUUUAAGGGAUUUCCAACUUUUUUUCUAUUGUGAAGUAGGCAGCAAUAAACAUCCUGGUGUCACUCCUGGAAUUGUGACUGUUGAUUAAAAGAUAUGCUCAUAUACACUUUGAGACAGACGUAUUGCCAAACCACCUUCUAGAACUAUUGCUCACCCUUGUUUCAUUUUGACAGGGUAAGAUCGAGAUCUUUACCUUUUUUUUGGCUAUACCUGCGGCAUAUGGAAGUUCCCAGGUCAGGAUCAAAUCCUAGCCCCUGUGACCUACACCACAGGGGCAGCAAUGCCAGAUCCUUAACCCACUUCGCUGACUGGGGAUCAAACCCACGCUGCUGCAGAGAUAACACCAGAUCCUUAACCUGCUCCACCACAGUGGGAAUUUGGACAUCUUUUUUUCUUUUCUUUUUUUUGGUCUUAUUGUCUUUUAGGGCCUCAUCUGCGGCAUAUGGAGGUUCCCAGGCUAGGGGUCGAAUCGAAACUGUAGCUGCCAGCCUACACCACAGCCACAGCAACUUGGGAUCCAAGCCGCAUCUGCAACCAACCCCACAGCUCACAGCAACGCUGGAUCCUUAACCCACUGAGCGAGCCCAGGGAUCGAACCCUCAUCCUCAUGGACAGCAGUUGGGCUCGUUAACUGCUGAGCCAUGAUGGGAACUCAGGGAACCCUGAUGUCUUUACUAUUUUAUUUCUUCUAUUACUUCAAGCCUUGAUAGACUUUUUUUUUGCCUCAAAGACUUAGCACACCUUUUUGUCAUUUUUCUACAAUUUGAUUUUUUUUUUAAAGAUAAAAGUUUAAUCCAACUGGAGCCCACGAGCCUUUGAUUUCCAGUUAUAUUAGAAAUACAGUAACUAAACUUUUCUUCCAAGCAGUUGUCAGGUGGUGGAGUUAGAGUUUUCAUUUUUUUAAAAAAUAAAUAUGUGUUAUUUACUAUUCUUUUUUAAAAUGUAUUUUUAUUAGAAGUAACGUUGAUUUACAAUGUUGUGCUAUUAUUAUUUCUACAAGUUAUUCAUGACUCAUUUUUUUUUUGUGAAAAAUGCAAAAACGAACCACAAAGAAAGAUAAAUAAACAGCCCCUGGACCUCUUCCACCACCCGUCUUCCAUCAAAUCCAUUCCUCCUUGCGGAGAUAACCUGGGUUUAUCACUUUCGUGUAUAUCCCGUCAUUUGCUUUCUUUUGCAUUUACGUACAUAACAUGUGCAUCUAAAAACACGUAGAUCUUGUGUUUUCAUUUUAGCACAAAUGUGAUCAUGCCUUUGUAGUCUUCAGAUGGCUUUUUCUACUCAAUAAUAUGACAUGGUUCCCUCCCCAUAGCUAGAUUUUUAACUCCUGGUCGAAUCACGUCUGUGACCGGCACAAAGCAAGAGUGUGAGAACAAAGCAAGAGUGUGGGAAGCCCUGAGAAGGAAACAAACAGGGUGAUGCUGUGGAGAAUAUCUGGGGCGGGGGGGGGCGAGGGUCUUGGGAUGAACCAAGCUAACUGGCCCCACACAGAGUAGCAGGGGCUCUGGGGGACGGUGCCCAGCCCAGCAGCAACCCCCUCCCCCCACAACAACACUGUGUCCUUAACCCACCACAAGGCCAGGGAUCAAAUCCUUGUCCUCACAGAUACUAGUCGGGUUCAUUACCGCUGAGCCACGAUAGGAACUCCCUUAAUUCUUUUAAGCUGAUACCUACCUUCUCAUAAUACGGAUGCACCAAUGGAUGGACAGUUAGGUUUCUCCACUAUUAAAGAAGAUGGUGUGUCAGUGACAGUGUGUACAUGCUUCUUUGGAGAAACUUUUCUCUAGAAGGAUAAUAGAGGCAGAAUUGCUAGGUCAAAGGAAAAGGCUAUUUGAAAUAUAGUUUCAUUUCAUUUUCAGUGUAUCUCAACCUGUUUUCUUUUUCUUUUUUCUUUCUUUCUUUUUUUUGGUCUUUUUAGGGCUGUGCCCACCGCAUAUGGAAGUUCCCAGGCUAUGGGUCCAGUAGGAGCUGUAGCCGCUGUCCUACGCCACAGCCACAGCAAUGCCAGAUCCGAGCCAUGUCUGUGACCUACAGCACAGCUCACGGCAACGCCGGAUCCUUAACCCACUGAGCAAGGCCAGGGAUCGAACUGGCAUCUUCAUGGAUACUAGUAGGGCUGGUUAAACAUUAAAUUAAACAUAUAUUAUUAAAUUGAAUACUUAAAUCGAUUAAAUUUCUGAUGAGAGAAAUCAAAUUCUGGGGCAUAGGGUUUUGCUGAGUAGCAUGGAUCUUAGGAGGGCCACACACCGUUGUCAUAGUCAAGAUAUUUUCACCUCCAAGAACCAAUGUUUGCCCCCACGGAGAACGCAUGAUUUAGAUAAACACCAGCUGAAAAGUUGUUUCGUUGGGUGACCCUGUGGAAAAGACACAUCCUUCCUUUGUGAGGCCUGCAGGAUGUCACAUCUACGUCUUGUCAUGCUGGAAGCAUUUAGCGCUUGCGGCUAGCCUGGAACCCUCAAAAAUAUUUCCUGAAUUGAACUGAGUGUUGAUAAUACAGUGUCCAAGCGUGUGAUCAUGCUCGCCAUGAAGCAGAGGGGAGACGCACAGCUCAUUUGUUCUCCUUCCUCACAUGUUAAUUAAUGUUGUCAAGAAUCACCAGAAUAUCGCUAGGUAACUCAGAGAGAGAGAGAGAAAAAAAAAAAAAAAAAAAAAAAGAACAUGGGUAAGAAAUAAUUGGGCUGGAGGCUGUCACUCCAGGGAGCUCACUCACAUAUUCCUUUUGUAGUCGCUUUACAUGUUUAAGGCAAAUGGAAUCUGGCCCAGGAGGUUCAGCCUUUGAAAUAUGCUUUGUGACAAGCAGGAUGGCAGGAAAACCAAGCUUUUGCUCUGGUCAUGUG
rnacentral:lncRNA from 1 species